rnacentral:rRNA from 1 species
UCAGUACGGCGAGUGAAGCGGCAAAAGCUCAAAUUUGAAAUCUAGCACCUUCGGUGUUCGAGUUGUAAUUUGAAGAUGGUAACCUUGGGUUUGGCUCUUGUCUAUGUUCCUUGGAACAGGACGUCAUAGAGGGUGAGAAUCCCGUCUGAUGAGAUGCCCAUUCCUAUGUAAGGUGCUAUCGAAGAGUCGAGUUGUUUGGGAAUGCAGCUCUAAGUGGGUGGUAAAUUCCAUCUAAAGCUAAAUAUUGGCGAGAGACCGAUAGCGAACAAGUACAGUGAUGGAAAGAUGAAAAGAACUUUGAAAAGAGAGUGAAAAAGUACGUGAAAUUGUUGAAAGGGAAGGGCAUUAGAUCAGACUUGGUGUUUUACGAUUAUCUUCUCUUCUUGAGUUGUGCACUCGUAUUUCACUGGGCCAGCAUCGAUUCGGAUGGCAAGAUAAUGGCAGUUGAAUGUGGCUUCACUUCGGUGGAGUGUUAUAGCUUCUGCUGAUAUUGCCUGUCUGGAUCGAGGGCUGCGUCUUUUGACUAGGAUGCUGGCGUAAUGAUCUAAUGCCGCCCGUCUGA